UGAUGAUUGGAAGACCAGCAAUUUAGAAGGGUCCAGAUUCUUGAAAACAUGUAUCUUCUUAUUUUCAAUUUAAUGCAAGAAGCUAAAGACAAAUCCUAAUGGAAGGUACAAAUCCUGGACUUCAGAGAUCAUAUUUUUCCCUUUCAAUAACUAUACCUUUAAAAAAAUACAUGCACAUGUAAGACCAUUAUGCCAUUCUUGUUCAGACUUAUUGGUUGGUUAAUAAAUAUCAAUGUGAAUUUAUAAUUAAAUACAAGUUACUUUACUUACUUUAUCUUUAAUGUACUGAAAUGUAUAUAUAUUAAUGUGACUUGGCAGGAUGUUAAGAGUUUUUAUUUUAAAUUUUUUUGCAACCUGAUAAAUAUUUUUUUAAUUCAAAUGACUGUGAUUGUGGUUUUGUGCUAUUAUUGUUAAGGUAUUAUAAUAAAGAAUUAUAGUGACAACAUAUAAUGGAAAUAGUCAUUUAAAAACUGCAAAAUACCUUCUUAAAAGCACUGAAAAGCAGCAUUUCUGCUGCAGUUAUGGAACAAAUAAACUUUUUUUCCUGU